UUUCUACAAUUUUAGCUGAAUAUCGAUUUUCGAACCCUACGUUUUGGUACAUAUUUUCCCUGGUAGAUAAAUUUCAGAACAUUUGAAUUUUUUUUCCUGAAAAUUGAGUUUGUAAUUUUGUAUUUUUUUUUUUUAUUGUGUCUGACAUCAUUAGCAAGGAAAUGUAUGUACUGAAUUGAACCAAAACGAUCAUAUUGAAAAUUGAACUUGAAUUCCAAAAGCUUUAUUGAUUAUAUUAUGUAGCUGGAGCUAGCUAGAUGUUUAGCAAAUUAAGAUGUUUUGGCAUUUUGCUAAUGUAUAAUGGGCUAAUGGCUUUUAAAAGAAAAUAUGUUGUACAGGUAACUCUACUUGCUCUGUGCAUGAUUUAGUAUGCUGUUAAGCUCAUAUCUUUAGGUUGUUCCUGUGAUGAACACGUUAUAUGUGCCUUUAAAACCAAAACAAUCAUAUGAAAAUUAAACUUGAAUUCCAAAAGCUUUAUUAAUUAUAUUAUUAGCUGGAGCUAGCUAGAUGUUUAGCAAAUUAAGAUAAUUUCCAUGCACUCUAGUUUUGGCAUUUUGUUAAUGUGUGUACAUGUAGCUCUACUUGCAUUGUGUAUGAUUUAUUAUACUGUAAAGCACAUAUCUUUAGGCUGUUCCUGUGAUGAACACGCCAUAUAUGCCUUGAAACCUUCAUACAAAAAUAAACUUGAAUUCCAAACGCUAUGUUAAUAAUAUUGUUAGCUGGAGCAAGCUAGAUGUUUUGCAAAUUAAGAUCAUUUCUAUGCACUCUAGUUUUGGUAUUUUGUUAAUGUGUGUACAUGUAGCUCUACUUGCAUUAUGUUUUGCAAAUUAAGAUCAUUUCUAUGCAAUCUAGUUUUGGUAUUUUGCUAAUGUAUAACGGCUUUUAAUUGAAAAUAUGUUGUAUAGGUAGCUCUACUUGCGUUGCAUGUGAUUUAUUACACUGCAAAGCUCAUAUCCUUUAGGCUGUUCCUGUGAUGAACUUGCUAUAUAUGCCUUUACUCAAUUACAUUGUAUUACUGGAAAGUGCCGUGACUCAACCAACUGGUCCUUUAGGUUACACCUUAUACUCUCUAUCUCAUUGGGAUGGGUAGGCAAACUUAUUAAAAGCGCUUGCUUUUGCGCUUUAAGCGCAAAAGCAAGGCGAGCGAUGGCAGAUCGCCUCGCCUAGGCAAGGCGCAGUAGCGUGAGAAAGCGCGCGCUUGAACGCGCUUUUCUGGCGAGGCAACGAAGCGACGAAGCGGCGAAAAGCGAGGCUUUACUAUGCAGAGCGCAAGUCAACGGUCA